AGAGUUUGAUCAUGGCUCAGGACGAACGCUGGCGGCGUGCUUAACACAUGCAAGUCGAACGAGAUCCUUCGGGGUCUAGUGGCGAACGGGUGAGUAACACGUGAGCAACCUGCCCCUGGCUCUGGGAUAGCCUCCGGAAACGGGGAUUAAUACCGGACAUGACCUGGGACCGCAUGGUCCCAGGUGGAAAGUCUUUUCGG
rnacentral:rRNA from 1 species